rnacentral:rRNA from 1 species
UACGUAGGGUGCAAGCGUUGUCCGGAAUCAUUGGGCGUAAAGAGCGUGUAGGCGGCCACUUAAGUCCUGCGUGAAAUCUUGCGGCUCAACCGCAAGCGGUCGUGGGAAACUGGGUGGCUAGAGUGCGGGAGAGGAGAGUGGAAUUCCUGGUGUAGCGGUGGAAUGCGCAGAUAUCAGGAAGAACACCCGUGGCGAAGGCGGCUCUCUGGAACGCAACUGACGCUGAGGAGCGAAAGCGUGGGGAGCGAACAGG